AAGAGAAGGAGGCGGGACCCGCCGCCACGUGACAGGGCGCUCCUCCAAUGGUCGGCGCGGGAAGGCGAAGGCAGAAAAGGAGGGCAGCCAAUGGGAGGGCGAUUUCCCCCUCUCGACGACGCUGGCCUGCUGUUUGGCCGCCAUUAGAGGAGAAAGAGACAAGAGGGAGGAGGAGGAGGGUGAGGGGGGUGAGGAGAGAGAGGGCAACAUCACAUCAUCCUCAUCAUCCUCGAAUCCAGGCCUUGUUUCUGAGGAGGAGGGAGGAGACUGCCGAAGGAAGAAUGGGAGAGACUCGCUGAGGAGGAGGAGAAGGAGGAGAAGCCACCGCUCAGGAUGCCGAGGCUGGGCAGCCGCAAGCAGAGGCACCGCUGAGGAGAGG